AUUGAACGCUGGCGGCAGGCCUAACACAUGCAAGUCGAGCGGAUGAAGGGAGCUUGCUCCUGGAUUCAGCGGCGGACGGGUGAGUAAUGCCUAGGAAUCUGCCUGGUAGUGGGGGAUAACGUCCGGAAACGGGCGCUAAUACCGCAUACGUCCUGAGGGAGAAAGUGGGGGAUCUUCGGACCUCACGCUAUCAGAUGAGCCUAGGUCGGAUUAGCUAGUUGGUGGGGUAAAGGCCUACCAAGGCGACGAUCCGUAACUGGUCUGAGAGGAUGAUCAGUCACACUGGAACUGAGACACGGUCCAGACUCCUACGGGAGGCAGCAGUGGGGAAUAUUGGACAAUGGGCGAAAGCCUGAUCCAGACAUGCCGCGUGUGUGAAGAAGGUCUUCGGAUUGUAAAGCACUUUAAGUUGGGAGGAAGGGCAGUAAGUUAAUACCUUGCUGUUUUGACGUUACCAACAGAAUAAGCACAGGCUAACUUCGUG
rnacentral:rRNA from 1 species